rnacentral:rRNA from 1 species
GGAUUGAACGCUGGCGGCAUGCCUAACACAUGCAAGUCGAACGGGAGUAGCAAUACUCUAGUGGCGGACGGGUGAGGAAUACGUAGGAAUUUGCCCUUAAGUGGGGGAUAACCCGGGGAAACCCGGAUUAAUACCGCAUGACCUCGAAAGAGCAAAGUGGGGGAUCGCAAGACCUCACGCUUUUGGGGAAGCCUACGUCGGAUUAGCUAGUUGGUGAGGUAAUGGCUCACCAAGGCGACGAUCCGUAACUGGUCUGAGAGGAUGAUCAGUCACACCGGAACUGAGACACGGUCCGGACUCCGUACGGGAGGCAGCAGUGGGGAAUAGUUGGACAAGUGGGCGCAAGCCUGAUCCGAGC